rfam:Choloepus hoffmanni cont1.873794, whole genome shotgun sequence.
CUGAGCUCCAAACUCAAUCCAUACUCAAAGUAUACAGAUUUAAGAUGCUGAUAUUGGAAUUAUUUGGCAUGAACUUAACAAGAUAA